rnacentral:lncRNA from 1 species
AAUAAAUCUCAGCCGUUAAUCAAUAAUACUGACGGAUUAGAGCCUAUAUACCAAUAUUUGUCUCAUAGCAUAUAGAUGCUAUGGAUCGCUCCCCAUAUAUAUAUAUAUAUAUAUAUGGACAAUAAUUCAUAGCAUCUAUUUGCUAUGAAUCAAUAAUGGAAAAAUAUCAUCCUAACCUUCCAAUGCAAAAAUGAAAGGUUGUGAUUUAAAAAAAUAUAUCGUCGUCCGCUAAUCAUACUAGCGGACUAGAUAAAAAUAAUUAUCCGAAUGAAGCUUGGUUUUAUUUCCGUCUGCUUAUUAUAUUAAAUCCUUUUACAAAUCAAAUCCAAGUCCAUGUGUAUUGCAAAUGUCGUGAGUCCUGCAAACAGUGAUACACAUUACAACAAGAAUCCAAGUCACACAAUUACAACAAGAAUCCAAGUCACACAAGGAGUCUUGCAAAUAGUUAUACACAUUGCAAAUCCAAGUCACACAGGGAGUCGCACAUGGAAUCUUUUGCAAACUUCAAAGUAGUUGCGUCAAAAGCACCAUACUGCCCUCCCAACCGGACCAUACACCUCCUUAGAAGAAGACGAAGCCUUCGGCAAAUCAGACGACGACGAUGCUCUAAAACACCUUUCCAAUAUAAUCCCGCCACAGCGUCGCCGUCCUUAACCGGCGACGAAGCUCUCAGAACGUGACCUUUAUGGAGAAGCUUACAUGGAACCGCUGGAAGCGACCGGUAAACAGUGGCGCGCGGAGGAGGCAAUCUAGUGGGUAUGAUAAAUUCUAAAAACUUACUCAUUAAAUAAAAAAACUUACAAACUUAGUCAUUCGGUGUUGUGCGGGUAUAAUGGUCCGAUAAUUAUUGUUAUCCAGUCACUGAGAUAUUUUUUUAAAUCACAACCUUUUAUUUUUGUAGUGGAAGGUUAAGAUGCUAUUUGUCCAUUAUUAUGGAUCAUUAUUGAUUGGUAUUACUCCAUUAUUUAUAGCAAGUACCACGGUGCUGACAUAGGGACGGCCAAAACACUUGGAUUAUAUAUACCUCCUCACCUCAUGGCCACUGGCC